UUAAAAGCAAACUGACCGUGCGAUUCUCCUCUUCAGACCACCUUCUUCCUUUCUUUUACUUUCAAAAAGUUUUCUACGUUCUUUGUUUUCAGAUCUGGCCUUGCCCAGAGAAAAGAAGAGAGAUACAAGCACAAAAGAGAGAGAGAAAAACAGGAAAAAGACAGAAACGACCAGACAUGGAUCUGAAACCCCCCCCAUUCUCUUCAAUGUGGAGAGGGAAAGAAAAGAAUAUCAGAAAGAGGUAAGGAAGAAGAUGAUAGAAAACAAAUUAGAAUGGUCAUCGUUCUACCAUUCUUUUUCUUCUUCAGUUUCUUGAGAGCAAAGAACCAAAUAGAGAAAGAAAAGAAGAACAAAGAAAGAAGGAAGAAGAAGAUCGAAAAGAAGAUAGAUGGGUUUCUCUUAAAGACCCAACACUACUUGGUCAUUCUGUUAAAUUUCAAUCUCUCUUGUUCACAAGCCUUGCCCAGAGAGAAGUUGAGAAGUACGAGCAUAGCAGAGAGAGAAAAAGGGGAAAAAGACAGAAACGAGCAGACAUGGAUCUGAAACCCCUCCAUUCUCUUCAAUGUGGAGAGGGAAAUAAAAGAAUAUCAGAAAGAGGUAAGGAAGAAGAUGAUAGAAAAAAAAUUAGAAUGGUCAUCUUUCUACCAUUCUAUUUCUUUUUCAGUUUCUUGAGAGCAAAGAAUCAAACAGAGAAAGAAAAGAAGAACAAAGAAAGAAGGAAAAAAGAAGAUCGAAAAGAAGAUAGAUAGGUUUCUCUUAAAGACCCAACAGUAUUGAAAGAUUCAAUCUCUUUCCCACAAGCCAUGGGCAGAGAGGAGAGAAAUACAAGCAUAACAGAGGGAGAGAACGGGGAAAAAGAUAGGAAAGAACAGACAUGGGUCUGAAACUCUUCGUUCUCUUCAAUGUCGGGAGGGAAAGAAGCGAAUAUCGGAAAGAGAUGAGGAAGAAGAAGAUAGAAAACAAGAUUAAAAUGGUUCCUCCUAUCAUUCUUUUUCUUCUUCAGUUUCUUGAGAGCGAAGAAUCAAAUAGAGAAAGAAAAGAAGAACAAAGAAAGAAGGAAGAAGAAGAUCGAAAAGAAGAUAGAUGGGUUUCUCUUAAAGACCCAACACUACUUAGUCAUUCUGUUAAAUUUCAAUCUCUCUUGUUCACAAGCCUUGCCCAGAGAGAAGGUGAGAAGUACGAGCAUAACGGAGAGAGAAAAAGGGGAAAAAAUCAGGAACGAGCAGACAUGGAUCUGAGACUCUCCAUUCUCUUCAAUGUGGAGACGGAAAGAAAAGAAUAUCAGAAAGAGGUAAGGAAGAAGAUGAUAGAAAACAAAUUAAACUGUCCUCUUUCUUCCAUUCUAUUUCUUUUUCAGUUUAUUGGGAGUAAAGAGCCGAAUAGAGAAAGAAAAGAAGAGCAAAGAAAGAGGGAAGAAGAAGAUCGAAAGAAGAGAUAUGUCUUUCUCUUCAAAGACCCAACGGUAGCCGGAGUAUGAUGAGAUGUUCCCUUCACUAUUCAGUGAUCAUCCUAAUAUAUUUCUUCCACACCUGUCGAUAUGGGCUAGUGAAUUUUGGCACUGAAAUAGCAUGAAAGGUCCGCAGACGGGAAGCUGAGAACUUGCUCAAUUCCAAUUGGUGGCUUCCUGAAACACUCAUAUGAUGAGAUGUUCCCUUCACUAUUCAGUGAUCAUCCUAAUAUAUUUCCUCCACAUCUGUCGACAUGAGCUAGUGAACUUUGGCACUGAAAUAGCAUGAAAGGUAUGUCCGCAGACGGGAAGCCGAGAACUUGCUCAAUUCCAGUUGGUGGCUUCCUGAAACACUCAGUAUCUCUUCUCUCUCUCUCUCUCUUUCAUCAUUCUUAAACUUAAUCUUCAAUCGUAGAAUGCGAUUGAAUGAUUACGUCAGUUGCUUGAAAGUAACUUGUUUACUAUUUGCAAAAUAAUAUGCACUCGUUAUAA